GAUGAACGCUAGCUACAGGCUCAACACAUGCAAGUCGAGGGGAAACGAUAUUGGAAGCUUGCUUCCGAUAGGCGUCGACCGGCGCACGGGUGAGUAACGCGUAUCCAACCUGCCCAUCACUUGGGAAUAACCUUGCGAACGUAAGACUAAUACCCAAUGAUAUCUCUAGAAGACAUCGGAAGGAGAUUAAAGAUGUAUCGGUGAUGGAUUGGGAUGCGUCUGAUUAGCUUGUUGGCGGGGUAACGGCCCACCAAGGCGACGAUCAGUAGGGGUUCUGAGGGGAAGGUCCCCCACAUUGGAACUGAGACACGGUCCAAACUCCUACGGGAGGCAGCAGUGAGGAAUAUUGGUCAAUGGGCGAGAGCCUGAACCAGCCAAGUAGCGUGCAGGAUGACGGCCCUAUGGGUUGUAAACUGCUUUUAUAAGGGAAUAAAGUGAGCCUCGUGAGGCUUUUUGCAUGUACCUUAUGAAUAAGGACCGGCUAAUUCCGUGCCAGCCGCCGCAGUAAAAC
rnacentral:rRNA from 1 species